rnacentral:rRNA from 1 species
UACGUAGGGUGCGAGCGUUGUCCGGAAUUACUGGGCGUAAAGGGCGCGUAGGCGGCGUGGUAAGUCACUUGUGAAAUCUCUGAGCUUAACUCAGAACGGUCAAGUGAUACUGCUGUGCUAGAGUGCAGAAGGGGCAAUCGGAAUUCUUGGUGUAGCGGUGAAAUGCGUAGAGAUGCGGAGGAACACCGAUGGCGAAGGCAGCCCCCUGGGCUGACACCUGACGCUCAGGCACGAAAGCGUGGGGAGCAA